UACGUAGGGUGCAAGCGUUAUCCGGAAUUAUUGGGCGUAAAGAGCUCGUAGGCGGUUUGUCGCGUCUGCUGUGAAAACCCGAGGCUCAACCUCGGGCCUGCAGUGGGUACGGGCAGACUAGAGUGCGGUAGGGGAGAUUAGAAUUCCUGGUGUAGCGGUGGAAUGCGCAGAUAUCAGGAGGAACACCGAUGGCGAAGGCAGAUCUCUGGGCCGUAACUGACGCUGAGGAGCGAAAGCGUGGGGAGCGAACAGG
rnacentral:rRNA from 1 species